rnacentral:tRNA from 1 species
GCCUGGGUGGCUCAGUGGGUUAAGCUUCUGACUUUGGCUCAGGUCGUGAUCUCGUGGUUCGUGAGUUUGAGCCCCACAUCGGGCU